rnacentral:rRNA from 1 species
CUCCAGACUCCUACGGGAGGCAGCAGUGGGGAAUAUUGCACAAUGGGGGAAACCCUGAUGCAGCGACGCCGCGUGAGCGAUGAAGUAUUUCGGUAUGUAAAGCUCUAUCAGCAGGGAAGAAAAUGACGGUACCUGACUAAGAAGCCCCGGCUAACUACGUGCCAGCAGCCGCGGUAAUACGUAGGGGGCAAGCGUUAUCCGGAUUUACUGGGUGUAAAGGGAGCGUAGACGGUCCUGCAAGCCAGAUGUGAAAGCCCGGGGCUCAACCCCGGGACUGCAUUUGGAACUGUGCGGCUGGAGUGUCGGAGAGGCAGGCGGAAUUCCUAGUGUAGCGGUGAAAUGCGUAGAUAUUAGGAGGAACACCAGUGGCGAAGGCGGCCUGCUGGACGAUGACUGACGUUGAGGCUCGAAAGCGUGGGGAGCAAACAGGAUUAGAUACCCGCGUAGU